rnacentral:rRNA from 1 species
AGCCUCUUUAUGGGGUGACUGCGUACCUUUUGUAUAAUGGGUCAGCGACUUAUAUUCUGUAGCAAGGUUAACCGAAUAGGGGAGCCGAAGGGAAACCGAGUCUUAACUGGGCGUUAAGUUGCAGGGUAUAGACCCGAAACCCGGUGAUCUAGCCAUGGGCAGGUUGAAGGUUGGGUAACACUAACUGGAGGACCGAACCGACUAAUGUUGAAAAAUUAGCGGAUGACUUGUGGCUGGGGGUGAAAGGCCAAUCAAACCGGGAGAUAGCUGGUUCUCCCCGAAAGCUAUUUAGGUAGCGCCUCGUGAAUUCAUCUCCGGGGGUAGAGCACUGUUUCGGCAAGGGGGUCAUCCCGACUUACCAACCCGAUGCAAACUGCGAAUACCGGAGAAUGUUAUCACGGGAGACACACGGCGGGUGCUAACGUCCGUCGUGAAGAGGGAAACAACCCAGACCGCCAGCUAAGGUCCCAAAGUCAUGGUUAAGUGGGAAACGAUGUGGGAAGGCCCAGACAGCCAGGAUGUUGGCUUAGAAGCAGCCAUCAUUUAAAGAAAGCGUAAUAGCUCACUGGUCGAGUCGGCCUGCGCGGAAGAUGUAACGGGGCUAAACCAUG